rnacentral:misc_RNA from 2 species
GAAAUGCGAUAAGUAGUGUGAAUUGCAGAAUUCAGUGAAUCAUCGAAUCUUUGAACGCACAUUGCGCCCCUUGGUAUUCCAUGGGGCAUGCCUGUUCGAGCGUCAUUUGUACCCUCAAGCUUUGCUUGGUGUUGGGUGUUUGUCUUCUAUUCUAGGAGACUCGCCUCAAAACAAUUGGCAGCCGGCAUAUUGGUAUCGGAGCGCAGCACAAGUCGCGCUUUAUUCCAUGAAUGUCAGCAUCCAUCAAGACUAUAUUUUAACUCUUGACCUCGGAUCAGGUAGGGAUACCCGCUGAACUUAA